GAUGAACGCUGGCGGCGUGCUUAACACAUGCAAGUCGAACGGAAAGGCUCCUGCUUGCAGGGGUACUCGAGUGGCGAACGGGUGAGUAACACGUGGGUGAUCUGCCCUGCACUUCGGGAUAAGCCUGGGAAACUGGGUCUAAUACCGGAUAGGACGAUGGUUUGGAUGCCAUUGUGGAAAGUUUUUUCGGUGUGGGAUGAGCUCGCGGCCUAUCAGCUUGUUGGUGGGGUAAUGGCCUACCAAGGCGUCGACGGGUAGCCGGCCUGAGAGGGUGUACGGCCACAUUGGGACUGAGAUACGGACCAGAAUCCUACGGGAGGCAGCAGUGGGGAAUAUUGCACAAUGGGCGCAAGCCUGAUGCAGCGACGCCGCGUGGGGGAUGACGGCCUUCGGGUUGUAAACUCCUUUCGCUAGGGACGAAGCGCAAGUGACGGUACCUGGAGAAGAAGCACCGGCUAACUACGUG
rnacentral:rRNA from 1 species